ACCAAUAACCAAGUCACCCGGAAUGCGACUGAUCCCAUCAGAGCUCGGAAGAUUAGUAGAGUUGAGCCUGGAUAGUGCUUGGAUGGGUGACCAUGAAUAAAACAGGUUUAGUAGGCA
rnacentral:rRNA from 1 species